CAAGCCACGUUGCCUUCUAGGACCUAGUUUUGGAAGGCACACACACAGUCCCUCCUGUCGUACUCCGUGGUUUGCCUGUUCUGGUCGUUGCACGUCGAUGGCGUGUUGUAAGAUGGGCUACGUUGAUGUGACCAUCUGCUACAAUAAUGUCACCUUCCCCAUUGGGCUGUUGUGAGGAGCUAAUUAAUUAGGCAAUCCUUGCAAGGAACUUCAACCAGUGCCUGCGAAGCUGACAAAAUGAGGAUAUGAAGUCUUGUCUCAUUUCAGGUGAGGAGGACCAGACCAUGGUUUUGGCUGCAGCAGAGGCCUGAGGCAGGCCAGGGAGUUGGUGCAGGGAGCAGUGAGGGGAAUCUGAGUGCACCUGCUCCUGCGGGGCCAGGGGGGCAUGGAUGGAGGGCCAAGCCCUCUAAGCACAGCCUCUGACCCAAGAGGCCUACCCAGCACUACAGUCACCACACACCCUGAAUGCCCAAGCCUGAGUCUGAAGAGUGGGUCCCCUCCCUCCCAACGGAACAGAUCCUAGCCCUCACUCCAGAACAAUCACCUGCCACCCUAAGUCUGAGGGUAAGCUUUUGGCUUGGCCUUCACGUUAAGUCUGAACUCCUGCCAGACCCCAGGACCUUUGCACCACUACGUUCUACCCCAGAAAUGGCCGGCCAAGUGCUGAGGCUGGAGUUGGCCCUUUUUGUUCCCCUGGGGGCUGGGGCACAGCGGCUCUGCCCUGCCCUGGGUGGGAGUGGGUGACACCGAGCUUCCCCACUCCCUGUCCCUUAUGCUACUGCCCAAUUCAGUGGGAGGGAAGGUUACCUCCUAGAGCUGCUGUGUGGCUCUCUUUGUCUCAAAGAGCCUUGAGAGACGGCAGGAGAGAGAUUUAAUUGCAGCCUGCCUGGGAACCUUUAAAGCAUUGACCUCUCUGGCCACACCCCAAGGUUGGCACGCUUUAAUUAAAAACAAAGUGCUGCUCGGAGGAGCCCUGCCAAGCCUGGUGAGCCUGGUUCACCUGGGCUGCCUCCCACGGCCACCACGGGAUGGCCAGCUGACCCUCCUCAGGGGGGUGCUGGGUCUGUGCCUUCACGGAGGGUGGCGGUUUGGAUCACGGUUGCUGGGUUGUAAUUUUCUGAUCCGUUGGCUGCAGCGAGAACAAAAUCAGUGUUCUGGACUUGCCCUCUUUUGAAACCCACCUCCUUGUGGAUUCUCCAACUCCUUUUCCCAGUUGGCAUGCCUCUGAGCCACGCUGGUCUGUGCUGGGGUAGCUCUGUGGCUGUGCCACGAGGCUGUGGCCAAAACAAUGACAGAGGCCAGUGCUGGUGGCCCACCCCAGGUCCUUCUUCCUAAAACCAUAGCCUUUAUCUGCUGGGGCAGCACAGCGUGGGGGCUGAGGUCAGACCCUGAGCCUGUGGCUUCCUGACUGUGUGACCUGGGGAAAGUCAUUCAACCUCCCUGAGCCUGGCUCCUCACCUGGGCAGUGGCGAGAGGCACCGAAGCCUCUCAAGAAGAGUGUCUGAGGGAGCAAAGUGUCAUGUGUGGACUUGGCUCAUGUCCUUCUGCCUGGACCUGGGAUGCCUGGUCCUGCACACGCGCAUGCUGACUGCUCACAACUUCUAGCACCCGUGUCUCCCUCCUGAGGUCCCUCUCCCCAGACGAGCUUAGCAGCCUGGAAGUUCAUGGAUUCUGUGCCCCUGGAGUAACCCUCAGUCCACAAAGGCCAGGAGCUGGUAGAUGGAUACUCCCAGCUUCCCCAUCCUGCAGCCCGGUGGAGGGCCAUGUUUUUCUCCGUAAAUUUGUUUACAUGAUUUCUAUUUUACCUUGCGUAGUUCUUUGUGUCCUUGGCUUUAUCUCAAUGAAGAUAUACCGUCUACUUAUUGUUUUUUCCAAAAAUUUUAAUUGUGGUAAAAAUAUACACCACAUAAAAUUACCGUCUUAACCAUU